CCUGGUUUUUAACUACUUGCAUUGAAUUGCUCAUAAUAUUUUCUUAUAAUUAUAUACUUCUGGAAAUGUUGGCUUUUUAGAUGAACAUGCCAGCAUGAGAAAAAAGCGAAGGACAUGGGGAUGAUGCCAGAGGCAGUAAAUGAACCGGUGGGAGCACAUUUAUUGAAACAGGUAGCUGUAUGCCAGCAACAGAACACUGAAUCUGCAGUCAUUGGAUCCAAGUUUGAGGGGUCUGGCUGUCACGUCUUAGGCAGAAGGCUUUCCUCAAAUGAAGGAGUCAAAAAGCAGGACCAGGGACCCAGGACUUGCUGUGACAUCUUUACGCUGACCCGCGCCAGUAAACUAUUUCAUGGUGAGUGGUCUUCUCAAAUUGCCUUCAGGUGUUGGUUUAAGAGAGCAGAUUAAAAAAAAAGUUAAAAAGAUUUUUAAGAUUUAGUAAAAGGGAGCGAUUGAUACACAUCAGGCCCA
rnacentral:lncRNA from 1 species